GUGCUCCCUUCGGCAACACAUAUACCAAAAUUGGAACAAUACAGAGAAGAUGAGCACAGCCCCUGCGCAAGGAUGACACGCACAUUCGUGAAGCGUUCCGUAUUUUU